ACCCGCACAAGCGGUGGAUGAUGUGGUUUAAUUCGAUGCAACGACGAAAACCUUACCCACCUUUGACAUGUACGGAAGCCUUUAGAGAUAGAGGCGUGCUCGAAAGAGAGCCGUAACACAGGUGCUGCAUGGCUGUCGUCAGCUCGUGUCGUGAGAUGUUGGGUUAAGUCCCGCAACGAGCGCAACCCUUGUCAUUAGUUGCUACAUUCAGUUGGGCACUCUAAUGAGACUGCCGGUGACAAGCCGGAGGAAGGUGGGGAUGACGUCAAGUCCUCAUGGCCCUUAUAGGUGGGGCUACACACGUCAUACAAUGGCUGGUACAAAGGGUUGCCAACCCGCGAGGGGGAGCCAAUCCCAGAAAACCGAUCGUAGUCCGGAUUGCAGUCUGCAACUCGACUGCAUGAAGUCGGAAUCGCUAGUAAUCGCGGAUCAGCAUGUCGCGGUGAAUACGUUCCCGGGCCUU
rnacentral:rRNA from 1 species